UACGUAGGGCGCAAGCGUUAUCCGGAAUUAUUGGGCGUAAAGAGCUCGUAGGCGGUUUGUCGCGUCUGCUGUGAAAGACCGGGGCUCAACUCCGGUUCUGCAGUGGGUACGGGCAGACUAGAGGUAGGUAGGGGAGAAUGGAAUUCCUGGUGUAGCGGUGAAAUGCGCAGAUAUCAGGAGGAACACCGGUGGCGAAGGCGGUUCUCUGGGCCUUACCUGACACUGAGGAGCGAAAGCGUGGGGAGCGAACAGG
rnacentral:rRNA from 1 species